UUUAUUUAAAAAAGAAAAAAAAUGAAUAACGAAAGGAAAAAAAAAUAGGAAUCCGAUUUCACCUUUGAAAAAAAAAUCUUUGUAUUUCUCAGUAUUUUUUUCUCUAUUUUCCUAUUUCUUUACACUGAAUCCUCCCUCACUUACAGAUUUCCCAAAGGCUUUUAUAGCCCGAAAAAUCGAAAAAAGAAAAAAUAAAAUAAAAUUUCACUAAUUAUUGUUGUUGUUUUAUCUCAAUCGGGCUCUUUGAGUCUGUUUUUUGCAGGAAAUCGUGGAGCAAACGUGAAGGAGGAUCUCCGAGUCCUACGGCGAUCGGGAUCUUGCUGGUGGCUGUUGCAGCUAGCUUAGGGUUUCUGCUUUUUGGCGUUAAGGGCUGCAAACUUGGGCUUUGGGGCUGUUAUUGGGUUUGAAAUUGAUGAAGAUGUUGGGCCAUGUAAAUGGACUCUUUAUUUGGGUUUUUUACUUUCUGUUUUGGUUCAUUUUUUUACCAGGCAAUAAUUGGUAUUACAGCUGCCCCUCUUUGCUCGUUAUCGUGUAACGAGAAUGGAGCAAAGACUUAAAAAUACCAAUUUUGCCUAGUUGUAUGGACCUUGGCGUUCUUUUUCUUUAAGUAGCCUCAUUCCUUCCUACUGCAUCUUCAGAGGUACAGGAACUAAUGUUUCAAUUUACUCCACUGCAAUGUCAGGGAGAUAAGAUUCGUACUUUGUAGCUUCUAAAAAAAAAACAAAAUUUGCUAUCUUUAAUCUGCUCCACUGCAACUUCAGGGAGAUAAGACUUCUAGCUUCAAUUUGCUCUGCUACAACUCAAAGAUAAGUCUGAUGCGAUCUGCUCUACUGCAACUUCAGAGAGAUGAGAUCUGUGGUCUUAAUCCACUCCAUUGCCACUUCAAGGAGAUUGGAUUAGUUACUUUAGUCUGCUCCACUGCAACUUCAGGGAGAUGAGACUUGUAUCUUCGAUCUACUUCACCACCAGUAUGGGAAGACAAGAUCUGCUUUCUCUGAUCUACUUCACGCUAAUACAUGAAGACAAGAUCUGCUUUCUUUGAUCUGCUUUGCCACCAGUAUGGGAAGGCAAGAUCUGGUAUCUCUGAUCUACUUCACGCCAGUACAUAAAGACAAGAUCUUCUUUCUUCGAUCUACUUCACGCCAAUACAUGAAGACAAGAUCUGCUUUCUUGGAUCUACUUCGCCACCAGUAUGGGAAGACAAGAUCUGGUAUCUUUGAUCUACUUCACGCCAGUACAUGAAGACAAGAUCCGCUUUUUCCGAUUGAUUCCACUGCCAACCGGGGAGGUAGAAUUACUAGCUUCAAUAUACUAGCUUCAAUAUACUCCACGGCAACUUCAGGGAGGUAUAAUCCGCCAUCUUCGAUCUGCUCCACUACUGCUUAGGGAGGCAAGAUCUAUUUCUUUGAUCUACUUCACGCCAGUGCAUGAAGACAAUAUCUGUUUUCUUGGAUCUACUUCACCACUAGUAUGGGAAGACAAGAUCUGGUAUCUUUGAUCUACUUCACGCCAGUACAUGAAGACAAGAUCCGCUUUUUUCGAUUGAUUCCACUGCCAACCGGGGAGGUAGAAUUACUAGCUUCAAUAUACUCCACGGCAACUUCAGGGAGGUAUAAUCCGCCAUCUUCGAUCUGCUCCACUACUGCUUAGGGAGGCAAGAUCUGUUUCUUUGAUCUACUUCACGCCAGUACAUGAAGACAAGAUCUGUUUUCUUGGAUCUACUUCACCACCAGUAUGGGGAGACAAGAUCUGUUGUAUUCAACCUGCUCUACUAUUGCUCAGGGAGAUAAGGCUUCAUGAUUUCACUGAUCUGCUCUCUGUAGAACAUGACCUGUAUGAUUUAUUUCAUGAACCAAUUAUGCCUAAUGAUUAGGAUGUCAUGAUCAGAAUGAAUCAAAUGCCCCUAACUAGACAUGUAUGAAUGACAUUUGAAUGAAAGCAAAAUGUCAUGAAAAUGAUAUUUUAACGCUUGAGUUAUUAUUACUCCAAGUUUAUUAAGGUUUAAUUGCAAAUGUGCUAUAGCGCCUCUUUGCUCGGCUGGCGUCUCCAAAGAAACAUUUGACCAGAUUGCCCCCCACUGUAAACCUCUAAGUUUGAUCCACUGGGACGCAAAUUUUGAACCAUCUUUUUCCCGUUGUAACUCAAGGGUAGAAAGAUUUGACCUUUUUUCAAUCCUCUGCUAUCACAAUUCGAGGAUACAGGAUGUGAAACUUUUUGGUCUCUUACACCAUUCUCAGGGUGUUGUACCAAAUGCUCAUGUACAAAUGAAGAACUUUCCUCUCCAAGAAUAACUUCUUCUUAUUAUUCGGUGAUCAUUGCUUUCUUGUUCAUUGAAGCUUUGUCACAACACGAUAUCUCGCCAUUUUGUUAGACGAAAAUUCAAAGGGGUAGUCUUAAUUUAGACUCUUCUUUAUCAGAUUUUCAACCUAGUGUGUUCUAAACAAUAGUCCUGUUUGAGGUUCCUAUAUUAUUCAGAAACUUCUAGAGAAAUAUGCAACACUUCCCUUGUGAAAGUUUUAUUAGUCCAUUAAUUAUUAUUCUAAUGUAACAUGCUUGCAAGAGAUCAUAUCAAUGGGUAGGAAUAGAAUUUAUUUAGAGCAUAGCUCUGAGAUAAGUAGAUUAUCCAAGAUAAUAAAGAUGGAUAACAAAGAAAAUGAUUUAGGAAUGCAUAUCUUGGCAAUGAACGAAGUGUUCCAAGAAUAACAAAAAUGGUAUAAGGAUUAGGUGCCCCAGAUAUCGCAACUUGAACUUCUCUGUACAGACUUUCUGAAGACCAUUCUGAAUUUAACAUGUGUUUAGGAGAUCUACAAUACUUCGUCGAUGCCCCAAGAUGUCGCUUACCCUUUCCUAUUGAUUCAGGUAUGCAAGACCACUGCAUGCCCCCAUUCUGGUCAGUAUUUGAGCUGCUCUACAAAUUUCAAACGCCAUUUUGGUCAACAUUUGAGCCGCCCUUUUUGGGUUUUCAACUCAAAUCCCCUUUGGUCUAAGGCGCCCUUUGCGGGUUUUCACCUUAGCCUCUCCAUUUUGCUCAAGGCUCCCUUUGUAGGGUUUCACCCUGGUUUUUUUUUGACUCAAAGCGCCCUUUGUAGGCUUUCACCUUGGUCCCACCUUUUUUAAGCAGAGUAUUUCCUGACUGAAUCUGAGUUUACAGGACUUUGUAAAUUUUUACCAUCCAUCUCAUUCAAGAUCAAAGCUUCUCCAGAAAAGACUUUCUUUAAAACAUAUGGACCCUUCUAAUUUGGCCUCUAUCUUCCUUUAAAAUCCUUUUGUAUAGGAAGGAUCUUUUCCAACACUAGUUCCCUAUUGUAAAAUUCUUUGGGACGAACCUUCGGGUCUUCCUCUUAGGAUAAAAUGUAGAGAAAUGACAAUUCGACUUCAAUGAGUAAAGCUAUGAUAAGCCAAAGAGGAGGGUAUUGCCCCAGCAAAGAAAGUUUACUGCAUCGUUCAUAGCAUCGAUGUUGAACCUACUGCCCACUUCUGACAUCAUGCUGUUAUUCAGAUUACAAGCUAGUGCUUAACCCGAGCAUAUCUGGGUAUGACCAUGUGAAGACAUCAUUGAAUUCUUGGGGUAGCUCUAUAAGGUCCCGCCUCGUCUUUGUGGUCAUGUCAAUCCCAAUCUUCACCCAGCACACAAUUUCUGAUAAUUCAUUGUGAUGUAGGAUCUGUCUAUCCUCUUAUUCUAUCACCCUCCUCAAGUCUGGAGAUAAGCUACAAUCUAUGUCAUCUUCAAAGUCAUGAGGUCCCUCUAAACACAUGUCUCACUCAAAAGGAAAUUUUGAGUCUGUAGCAGCGUCACUCAUGACAUUGAUAUCUGGGGACCCAUAGUAGGUAUCCAAGAAUAUACAAAAGAAUGUAUGAAUAAUAUGAAUGAAUAAAUGAAUGGUUUGGUAGAAAAAAUCCAAAAGAAUGAAAAAGAUGAUUGCAAUAAUAUAUUUCAUUAAAAUAAUAAUGUUCAGACAUGAGCCCAUUUCACAAAAAAGUUCUUAUUGCUUCUAGGCUAAAAGCAACAAGUGUGUUCUGAACAUUACUCUAACAGACUCUAAAUAACAUAGAGGUUUCCUCUGCAGUCCCAUUAUUUUUAACACCUCCCAGGCGAAUAUCUGACCAGAAAGCAUUGUAUCCCCUCCAUUAUCAAUCAUGAUUGGGUAAUGGAUUUUCUGCACUUGAUGAGUCACCAAACUUGACAACACCCAUGUCGAUGAGUCUUUCAACUUGCUUCUUGAAGGCAAUGCAAUUCUCAAUCGAGUGUCCCGUAAUUCCCGCGUGGUAUUCACAUUGUGCGUUCGCAUCAUACCAUUUGGGAUACGGAGGUUGUAGAGGCUUCACAUGAAAAGGGGAAACAACAUGUGCAUCAAACAGAUUUUGAUAUAGCUCCCUGUAUGACACCGGAAUUGGCGUGAAUUGGGGCCUCUCUGUGUUUUGUCUUGUACCAACUUCCUGUUUUGAUGAACCGUGUUGGUUAGCAACCAUCUUUCUUGGCUGACUCAUAGUAACUGAUUUAGAGUAACCCAUGUUGUUCACCUCAUCUNNNNNNNNNNNNNNNNNNNNNNNNNNNNNNNNNNNNNNNNNNNNNNNNNNNNNNNNNNNNNNNNNNNNNNNNNNNNNNNNNNNNNNNNNNNNNNNNNNNNCCACUUCUUAUGGCAUUUCCGAUCAUCUCGCCAUUCAUGAUUAUGUCGGGAAAGCUUUUUGUAGCACUCCCCAACAUAUGUGUAAUGAACGGUGCCUUCAGGGUGUUAAUGAACAACACGGUCAUUUCUUUUUCCAGGAGCGGUGGCUGAACUUGGACUGCGACCUCCCUCCAUCUCUGCGCGUAUUGUCUAAAGCUUUCACUCGACUUCUUUUCCAUAUUUUGAAGGGUGAUCCUAUCAGGAGCCAUGUCCGUCACAUGACUAUAUUGUUUCAUGAAUGAUUGUGUCAAGUCCCUCCAUGAUCCAAUCGUGGCACGACUCAACUGAUUGUACCAUUUGGAUGCUGCCCCAAUAAGGCUGUCUUGGAAACAGUGUAUCAAGAGUUGGUCGUUGUUAACAUAACCCGUCAUUCGCCUGCAGAACAUGGUGAUGUGAGCUGCUGGGCAGCUUGUCCCAUUGUACUUUUCAAAUUCAGGCAUCUUAAAUUUAUGAGGGAGUACUAAAUCUGGCACUAAACUCAGCUAUUUCGCGUCAAUGCCUCGAUAACUCUCAGUGACCUCCAUCGCCUUAAACUUCUCUUCGAGCCACUUUCAUCUUUCUUCUAAUUGUUUCGGUAGCUCCUUUUCCUUCUCAACCACUUCAUCGAAAUCAGGAAUGGCAGAGUUAAUAGGGUUAUUUUCAGGGUUAGAUUCCGGUCCAGCUUGGAAGCUCGAAACACCAUCCCGAGACUGCUGCGGCAUGAUGGUAACAGUAGAUUUGCGUGGGUGUUCGGCCUGAGUUCGCACAUGUGGCGGGGUGAAACCUGGAGGAUAGGAAGGUUCAUCAUCAUCUCCCUCAUCGACAUUUGUCAUGGGGCCAUUUCCUUUAUCGAGUCCUUUAGCUAUCAGGCGGGUUAGUUUUGCCACUAUAUCUUCUUGGGAUUCCCGCAUCUUCUCAGUCAUUUCUUGCUUCAUCUUGUCUAACCGCUCCUGCAUCUGUAGCUGAAGUCGGUCCUGUAUCUCCUUUUGACAUUGCUCGAGUUUUUCUAAUCUCUGAUCCAUAUCUUUCGUCUUUGCCCGAGUGCCGUAUCGGUGUUGGAUUGGUUGGUUGGUUUCCAGGUUAACUGAGCAAUAAUUUUAAUUAAUUAGGCUCUUUCAAUGGAUUUUAAUGCAUAUGAUGCUAUGUAAUGCAAAUGCAUGAGAUGAAUGCAAAAAGAGACGUUGAUUCUGAUUCAAUUCUAUUUAGAAAACUUUUCUAGAAGACAAAUUUCUUUACAUAAAGCAGAUAUAUAUAUACGGCUUUGCCCUCAUACUCCAAGCAAGGAUAUCUUCUCCUUCUUCAUCUGGAUGCUAAGAUAAAUCUUGCGAAUUCUUCAAAAUGGAUGUCUCUUCUAUCUCCAUUUUACUUGAUCCGGGCCGUGCUUCGUUAUUCCUUUAUCGUCGUGAUGCUCGUUGGCUUCCCUUAAAAAAAAUUCAGCGGCUCUCGAAUAAUCUUCAUUAGCUUGAGUCUUCGGGCAACGGAGCAAUGGUUAUGUAGUCCUCCAUUAAACUAUCAUCUUCCUCUUGUUGUGUUUUCUCGGAACAUAUUCGGGCAACCGUAUUAUUUUCCACUUUAUCAAGAAACACAUUUCCUUAUGACAAGCUCUCUAUUAACAACCGAACGUGAAUCAACACCUCUUUUAUGAUGAAAAUGCAAUGCAAUCAUGAUGUCAUGCAAUCAAAAUAAAAUGCAACAAGUUAGUAUCGGGUAUAAACAUUAAAUCCAAUAUAAGCAAGAAAUAAUAAAAACUCCUAGUCAGGUAUCUCCUAAGGUUUAGAGUACUUCUACCUAAGGUAAGUUCCUAAAGCUCACUAUAUGAGGUUUAGUUUCUAGAGUAAAGGUACCCGAACCAGAAGAUUCCUCGAUCCUCACCCAUUAUAGGCUCAUGUGGAUCAAGUUCAGUUCAGGGGGAUACAUUUCCCUAUGGCUGCACGGAGAUGAAAAUCUCACGAAGACAUAGGUACGGAUGUAUCCCGGAAGCGGUCCACUACCCUGCACGGAGGUGAAAACCUCACGAAGGACUAGUUUCUCGCUCCCACUUAAAGGGGUAAAACGGACCAUGCAAUGUAAAAAUGCAAAUGUAAAUGCAAAGUAGCCGACAUUCCAUGAUAAAAUAUCAAUGAAUGCGAAGGGAAAUCAUGAUUUUUUAAACUUUUGAUUUUCGACAAAAAGACAAAACAUAAUCAAUUCAUGGCUCGACUCUUUAGUGUCCCCAGCGGAGUCGCCAAGCUGUCGAAACCGUUUUUUGAAAACAAAAAUUUUAGUUGUCGACUUAAAAAAAACAAAAACUGGAGUCGCCACCGAUCCUUUAUUAAUGUGUGAUCGGCCCACCUUAAAAAUAAUUUUGGUCUGCGAGUUUUAAGAAAACGAGUUCGGAAGUCAGUUACGCACGAGGAAGGGUUAGCACCCUCGUAACGCCCAAAAUCAGUACCAAAUUGAUCAUUUAAUGUCUUAGUGUCGAAGGUUAAAAAAGUUAAAAAAAAAACAAAUGAUGAAACCAGAAAAGGAUAAUCAAUUGUUCAAGACAUGUAAAGAAAUCGAGUUCCAAUACGUUAGGGUACAAUUUCUCAUAAUUCUCGAACUUUGAAUUUCACUUUUAUUUUAUGCGAAAAUUUUCAUUUUGAGAAAGUAACAUGCCACACCCAAUGCAUUAGGACACAACAAGUUAAGUUCCCAAAAGUGAUUUUUAUACUCAUGCAUUUUGGAUAAAAGAAUAUCCUCGGGUAUUUAAGAUUAACAAAGAAAAUCAGAACCCAAUACGUUAGGGCUCAAUUUUCCUCGAAAAUCUCAAACUUCGAAUAUUACUUUUAUUCAAAAAAAAAACCCUUUGAAAUAAUUUUGAUGUGUUGACAAAACCAAAAUAUAUCUUCUUGUUUAAAAAGAAAUGACAUAAUGCUAAUAUACAACAUGGAACACAUACCUUAAUUUUAAAUUAUAUACGCAUAUGUAUUAUGAAAUGCCCAUGCAUAUAUACAUGUAUGCAAAAGUUAUGGAAAUAAAAGAAUAAUAAUAUAUAUAUGUGUAUUUAUAAAAGAAUGAAAAAAAUGUAUUUAGAUUUAUACAGAUAUAUAAAAAAAUAUGAAAAUACGUAUAUACAAAAGAAAAUGUAUGUAUAUAGGCAUAUAUAUAUAUGUACGUAAUAAUUAUGAAAAUAAGAUAAAAAAAAGCAUGUAUAUGUGUAUAUAUUCACAAAAUAGAAAAAAAAUGUAUAAGUAUAUAUACAUAGGCAAAUCAUGAAAAUUCACAUGCGUAUAUAUUCAAAUACAUAUAUAUAUGUACAAUAUGUAUAUAAAAUAAUGGGAUAUAUACAUGAAAUAACAAAAAAAAAUAUUCAAUAAUUAAAAAAGUGUAUGUAAAAAAAAUCUUUUAAAAAAUGUAUGUAUGUAUAUUUAUNNNNNNNNNNNNNNNNNNNNNNNNNNNNNNNNNNNNNNNNNNNNNNNNNNNNNNNNNNNNNNNNNNNNNNNNNNNNNNNNNNNNNNNNNNNNNNNNNNNNNNNNNNNNNNNNNNNNNNNNNNNNNNNNNNNNNNNNNNNNNNNNNNNNNNNNNNNNNNNNNNNNNNNNNNNNNNNNNNNNNNNNNNNNNNNNNNNNNNNNNNNNNNNNNNNNNNNNNNNNNNNNNNNNNNNNNNNNNNNNNNNNNNNNNAAAAAAAAUAAAAAACAAGGGGGGAGUAAAUUCAAAAGCGCGCAAUAGGGGGAGGACCAAUCGAGCAAUUUUACUCAGUUCCCAAGACGCUGCGUAGCGAGGGACUAAAUUGAAACAAAAAUCAAAUAGGCAGCCCAAUUUAAAAAAUGUAAAAUGGGUCUAAUUGGGGUGCGCUACAAAAGGGAGGGAUCGUCUGCGCAAUUUCCCCUUUAAAGCCCAACGCGCGGAUCCUCCUGGUCGGGUCGGGUCAACACGCGGAUCUUUCCCCCCAAAACGACGCUGUUUUGAAAUAUUAUUUAAAAUGAUUUUUCCCCUUUCAAAAUUAGUUUCCACCGAAAGGGGAAAGAAAAAAACAAAGGACCCCUGCUUUGCUCUGCUAGGGUUUUGGACUCUAGUGUCAUCGCGCAGCCUUUCGCCGGCGACCGUGCUCCGAUCAAGACGGAGAGGGCCCCCAGUCGGCGUCUUUGACGAAAGAGGUGAGAUUUUCGCCUUUUCGUAUUAUUUAUUUAAAAAAGAAAAAAAAUGAAUAACGAAAGGAAAAAAAAAAUAGGAAUCCGAUUUCACCUUUGAAAAAAAAUCUUUGUAUUUCUCAGUAUUUUUUUCUCUAUUUUCCUAUUUCUUUACACUGAAUCCUCCCUCACUUACAGAUUUCCCAAAGGCUUUUAUAGCCCGAAAAAUCGAAAAAAAAAAAUAAAAUAAAAUUU
rnacentral:lncRNA from 1 species